rnacentral:lncRNA from 1 species
AAACCCAUCUUUCCGGCCAUGCAGGGCGCAUGCGCGGUCUGCCUCCCGCGGCGGGCCGGGUCUCCAGGGAGGACCUGAGUUUUCUUCACCCAUGGUCAGGGAAGCGCCAUCGCCCUGGCUUUGAGGCUGGGGCCUCCGGGGAGGUUCCGGUAGGGGCUUUGAAGAGGCCGCUGUUUUUGCAAGGCCGAGACGGCGGGCCCUGCGCAGCCCGGAUGCCCCCGCUGGCCCCGGAGCAUCCUCGGCGCUGCCCUCCCAGAGCCCCGCAGAGGCUGAGGUGGCGCGGGGGCGGCCCCGGCUCCGCGAGAAGCGGCGGCAGCGAGGGCUGGAGGACCCGGGCUACGGGGCUCCGGGGCGUCUGGCCUGGUUGGGACUGAGCCCAUCCAGGGACUGGGACUCUGGGAUUCUGGUGUAGGUGGAUCCGGGGCAGGCUCAGGACCAAGUCCCUCUCCUUCCACCAAGGAGCGCCCAGAGGCCGGCGGGAGCUCCAGGUUCACCUCCUCCUCCUCCAGGAAAUCUCACUUCCAACUGGAUGUCUGGAUGAACUACUGAAAGCUGCUGAGUGUCCUGCAGCAGGUGAGCUGUGGCCAGAGCCCAAGGAUGAAGGGGGCUCCCUCACUCUGUGACUGUGAAGAGGAAGCCUGAGGUGUAGCAGGCCCAGGCCCCAGAAGUAUGGAAAAAAUGAGCUUGACUACCACACAAAUGAAUCCACUCAAAUGUUGGCAAGUGGAGCAGAGUCCCAGGACAGGUACAGAAACACCCCCAGUUCAAGGAUCUUCACACCUGGAUUUAGGCCUACUCCUGCAACUACCCCAGAACCUGGAAUUUAUAUGUUCAACAUGGAGCCAUCCCAGCCAUGACAACAGAGAAUGUACCACUCUCACAGUUACUAUGAAUUAUUAUAUUGUGGCUACUUACACCAAGAUGAAGAUAAUUUAUUAGUUCAGGAAGAACCUGCAUUCUGAAGGCAAAUGGAAGUUCCAGCUACAGAUGGGCAGACACAUGCCCCCUCAAUUCCUGAUGGACCUCCUUGUGCCUCAUGGACCUAAGGGGCCUCCCUCAAUGUUUCAAGAUGCCACCAAGGCAGGGAUCAGCUAGUGCAUUCCUGAGAACAUCCAGGAUGAAUUGAGGCUCUGGAAAAAUGCAAGAGUUUCCACAUAAUCCCAAAAAACCCUACAGGUGAACUGGAUGCCACAGAAAGAGGAGUGGUCUUUGUCACAACAAAAUCAACAAAAUUAUUUCGAAGUCAAUUAGGAAACUCAGAAAUCACUCUUGCUGCCAUUAAGAGGAAGAACAGCAGCCUGUGAAUGGCAUCCCUGGCCUUCCCGAGACUCCACAGAUAUUUCUAUGUGGCUUCAGACACCAGAAAUCUCUGUGAUUUUCAGAAAGGCAGGGACAGCUCAUGCAAGCCCAUCCCUCUGCAGAAUGUGUCCCAGCAGAUCAGUGGCAUGGAACCAUCAUGGACAGCACAGAGGCUCAAGGGCAGCAUCCCAGGUGGGCCUGUGACUCUAGAUAAGUUCUGAGUCCCCAUGGGGGAUCAGGAAAGGUUAGUGAUGACCUGGAAAGAAGGGACAGGUGGAAACCGCCCCUAAGCAAUCUGCAGGAUUCCAACUUCAGCAGGAAACCAAGGACCAGCUCGUACCACACCUGCGCCCCCUGAAAACUGGAUACAAUCCCAUUCUGCAGAAAGUUCCACGUAGAAGUGGCUGGGAAUUUUGCAUUCUAGAAUGAAUUUUACAGUGCCUCUGGACAUGUGAUGAGAAAGUUAACAUUGGUGUAUCUAAGUGACAUUUUCCACGAAGUGAUUUUUUAAGCUGUUUUAAAACAGACAAAAUAUAAUUAAAACAUAUGUAUUAUAUGUCAAAGUAUGGUUCGCUGGAAUCAAGUAGACUCACCUUGAGAUACAAUCUUGGACAACCUCCAUAUUCAGAAUAUCUACUUUUUCAAACCGAAACUCUCCAACCAAAAAUCAAUAACAUCAAAAGUUUGCAACUACAAGCCAACGGAAAAUAAAUACAUGAAUUCUACCAAAGUGAAUUGGACUGCUUUGGGAAACACAGAUGAAGAAAGUCAACACCGCUUUGUCUUUCAGUGCCUGGCUCCCUUUUCAGCUCGUCUUGCGACACCAGACAUUAUACCUGAAAAGUCUCCCGGACGCCUGUGAGGCUCUAAUUCCCUGGGUCCUAUUGUCAUUUCUCUGGAUUUGCAAAGAUCCACCUCACCUUCUGUGGAACCCCCAUGUCGGUGAACUUUUGGGCCACGGCCCCUAAUUCUGCCCAUAGUCAUCUGGAACUGCACGAGUUAGGGUCCAUGUUCCUUGGACGGGAAGAGACAGGCAGGAGUCGGAAUGAUGAACCAGCACACUGGGGCAUUUUCUCAUGUAGCCCAAGUGACCCCAUGGUCUUCUCGAGCUUUGGAACCAGUCGCGUCCCCCUUGACACUGCACCCGACUCCCAGUUUCUCAAUCUUGUUGGCCCUCCGGCGAUCUCCCUUUGGAUGAAUUGCACCUGCUGAAACUCGAGUCCCCUUUGAUUUGCGCUUCAUUAAUUAUUCAUGAUUCAGUUUGGAAGGCCUGCUUACGACUCCCUGUGGCCGUUCUCUGAGCUUUCCGGUCACAUCGUUUCCUUCCACGCUCUUUGGUUCAUUGUGGUCCUGCUGCUUCUGCUGUCAGAGGAGCAGAGAGUAGAUCUUAUUGAUUCUGGAUACGGAUACUUUCUAGGUGAUCUGGAUAAUCAAGAUAACGACCCUCAACAGCGGCGGAAAGGGAGCAGCCAUUCAGUGUGUCUCAGAAAAUACCGCUCAGUUCCGAGGCCUCCUAGAUGUGGAAUCCUGCUCAGAGUUGUUCCCAGGUCAGAGAAUAGAGAGAGUCUGUGCAUGAUGAGAUAUCCCUGCCUAGAUCUUUCAGUGAGUCUCUACCUCAGCUACUCUUAGGAUCAGUGGGAGAACCAUGGAAAGGCCCGGUGUCAGACAUCCGGAAAGAAGAUGGGAUGAAUGUUUUACCUCUGAAGUACAUCCCAAAUCUGGGAGUUAACUACAGCUUUGCUGGGGACUAUUUGGUCAGUGAAACUCUGCCUGGUUCAUUCGCACAUCCGGAAGCCACUUCACGGGGGGCCGUCGCAACCGGAACCACACACUUGGCAUAGGCGGUUGAGCCAAAUGGGGACUCGCGGUGCAAGCAACGCUCCCCACGUGUUAGCGUGCGUGAGAUUCAGUUGGCGGAAUUUUACUAGGUGCGUGUUGGUAGAGUGGGGCUGAGGUUCUCUUUCUCCUGUGGAUGUAUACGAAGUCAAAGGUCCUGCCCAGCCGUGCGGUCCCCUCAGUCAACUCUGUUUCGGAGACAUAACGAUUUGGAUUGCUAACAAGUCAAGAAAUGUUCAAGCCCUUGGAUGUAGGGAAAAGAAAGAGAGAUCAGACUGUCACUGUGUCUAUGUCGAAAGGGAAGACAUAAGAGACUCCAUUUUGGAAAAGACCUGUACUUUAAACAAUUGCUUUGCUGAGAUGUUGUUCAUUUGUAGCUUUGCCCCAGGCACUUUGCCCCAGCCGCUUUGACCCAACUUGGAGCUCACAAAAACCUGUGUUGUAUAAAAUCAAGGCUUAAGGGAUCUAGGGCUGUGCAGGACGUGCCUUGUUAACCAAAUGUUUACAAGCCGUAUACUUGGUAAAAGUCGUGGCCAUUCUCUAGUCUCAAUAAACCAGGGGCACAAUGCACCGUGGAAAGCUGCAGGGACGUCUGCCCUUGAAAGUAGGGCAUUGUCCAAGGUUUCUCCCGAUGCGAUACUCUGAAAUAUGGCCUUGUGGGAUAAAAAAGACCUGACUGUCCCCUAGCCUGACACCGGUAAAGCGUCUGUGCUGAGGUGGAUUAGUCAAAGAGGAAAGCCUCUUGUAGUUGAGAUGGAGGAAGGCCACUGUCUCCUGCUCGCCCCUGGGAGCUGAAUGUCUCGGUGUAAAAUCCGAUCGUACAUUUGUUCAACUCUGAGCUAGGAGAAAAGCUGCCCUGUGGCGCGAGGCGAGACAUGUUGGCAGUAAUGCUGCCCUGUUAUUCUUUACUCCGCUGAGAUGUUUGGGUGGAGAGAAACAUAAAUCUGGCCUACGUGCACGUCCAGGCAUAGUACCUUCCCUUGAACUUAAUUAUGAUAUAGAUUGCUUUGCUCACAUGUUUUUUUGGUUGACCUUCUCUUUAUUAUCACCCUGCUCUCCUACUACAUUCCUUUUUGCUGAAAUAAUGAAAAUCAUAAUCAAUUAAAAAUGAGGGAACUCAGAGGCCGGUGCCGGUGCAGGUCCUUGGUGUGCUGAGUGCCGGUCCCCUGGACCCACUUUUGUCUCCCUA